CACGUCACGGGGUAAGAGCAGGGACACGUCACAGGGGUAGAGCAGGGACACGUCACAGGGGUAGAGCAGGGACAGUCACAGGGGUAAGCGCAGGGACACGUCACAGGGGUAAGAGCAAGGGACACGUCACAGGGGUAAGAGCAGGGACACGUCACAGGGGUAAGAGCAGGGACACGUCACAGGGGUAAGAGCAGGGACACGUCACAGGGGUAAGAGCAGGGACACGUCACAGGGGUAAGG
rnacentral:lncRNA from 1 species